CGGAGGAAAAGAAACCAACAGGGAUUGCCCUAGUAACGGCGAGUGAAGCGGCAACAGCUCAAAUUUGAAAUCUGGCUCUCGGGCCCGAGUUGUAAUUUGUAGAGGAUACUUUUGAUGCGGUGCCUUCCGAGUUCCCUGGAACGGGACGCCAUAGAGGGUGAGAGCCCCGUCUGGUUGGAUGCCAAAUCUCUGUAAAGUUCCUUCAACGAGUCGAGUAGUUUGGGAAUGCUGCUCUAAAUGGGAGGUAUAUGUCUUCUAAAGCUAAAUACCGGCCAGAGACCGAUAGCGCACAAGUAGAGUGAUCGAAAGAUGAAAAGCACUUUGAAAAGAGAGUUAAAAAGUACGUGAAAUUGUUGAAAGGGAAGCGUUUAUGACCAGACUUGGGCUUGGUUAAUCAUCUGGGGUUCUCCCCAGUGCACUUUUCCAGUCCAGGCCAGCAUCAGUUUUCCCCGGGGGAUAAAGGCGGCGGGAAUGUGGCUCUCUUCGGGGAGUGUUAUAGCCCACCGUGUAAUACCCUGGGGGGGACUGAGGUUCGCGC
rnacentral:rRNA from 1 species